rnacentral:rRNA from 1 species
GACGAACGCUGGCGGCGUGCUUAACACAUGCCAGUCGAACGGAAAGGCCCUGCUUUUGUGGGGUGCUCGAGUGGCGAACGGGUGAGUAACACGUGAGUAACCUGCCUUUGACUUUGGGAUAACUUCAGGAAACUGGGGCUAAUACCGGAUAGGAGCUCCUGCUGCAUGGUGGGGGUUGGAAAGUUUCGGCGGUUGGGGAUGGACUCGCGGCUUAUCAGCUUGUUGGUGGGGUAGUGGCUUACCAAGGCUUUGACGGGUAGCCGGCCUGAGAGGGUGACCGGCCACAUUGGGACUGAGAUACGGCCCAGACUCCUACGGGAGGCAGCAGUGGGGAAUAUUGCACAAUGGGCGGAAGCCUGAUGCAGCAACGCCGCGUGCGGGAUGACGGCCUUCGGGUUGUAAACCGCUUUCGCCUGUGACGAAGCGUGAGUGACGGUAAUGGGUAAAGAAGCACCGGCUAACUACGU